UACGGAGGAUGCAAGCGUUAUCCGGAAUGAUUGGGCGUAAAGGGUCCGCAGGUGGCAGUGUAAGUCUGCUGUCAAAGAAUGAGGCUUAACCUCAUCAAGGCAGUGGAAACUACACAGCUAGAGUACGGUCGGGGUAGAAGGGAUUCCUGGUGUAGCGGUGAAAUGCGUAGAGAUCAGGAAGAACACCGGUGGCGAAAGCGUUCUGCUAGACCUGUACUGACACUGAGGGACGGAAGCUAGGGGAGCGAAUGGG
rnacentral:rRNA from 1 species